AUAGCCUCUACCUUCUGGACCUUCUCCUUCCCAGUUCCCAACCUUCGUCGCUCUUCGCACCCUUUCUCAACUCAGUUAGUCUUCAUCUUCUUCCUUCCAGCGAUUUGCAACCCGUCUCAUUCUCUGUCAGUCAGUCUCACAUCUUGCAGAUUUGUAAGUGUCACCAUCUCACUCUCAGUCUCUCACCCCCGUGACCAGUGACUCGCGACUUCCUCUCGCCGUUUCGAGUCUCGACCCACAACUUCCUUUGCAAGAUGAAGUCAAAUGCAUCACAGACCUCGAGCUCAAGCUCCAACUCAAUGAGAUUAGAAUCAUCAAAUAGCUCAUGUAAAAAACUAAACUCAUCUACUUAUACUCCAUCGCAAAAGGACAUUGUUGGUGAAUUAACUCCACCUUAACUCUCCAUGGUGGCACCUUAACUAACUCCUCUUACUCAUGGUGGAUCCAAAAAUUCCCCCAAUGCAACUCCAAAAGAAGGUGGCUCAAGUGAUCAAGUAAGUAAAGAAGACACUCUCUUGGAUUCACUAAAAAAUCAUGAAAGGUCUACAAUUUGGGAUCACUUUGAUAGGAUAGUUGAGGGAGAUAGAGUAAAGGGGGUGUGCAAGUAUUGCAACAAACUGUUUAUGGCCGACACGGAUAAAAAUGGAACAACUAGUAUAAGAAAUCACUUAGCAAGAUGUAGAAGCUAUGGUCCUAAUAAGGAAAUAUUUUCCGCAAAUAGGCAAGGGAUCUUAACCUUUGCCGGCACAAAAAAUAAGUUGGAAGCUAUAGGUUUUUCUCAAGUGGAAGUUACUAAGGCUUGUGUUGAGAUGAUAAUUAUAGACGAGUUACCUUUUUCUUUCGUUGAGGGAGAUGGUUUUCGUCAUUUUUGCAUGCAUGCAUGCCCUUUGUGGAGAGUACCUAGUUGUAAGACAAUGGCUAAAGAUGUACUUGACUGGUUUUACACCGAAAAUGAGAAAUUGAAAAGUCAGUUGAAGACAUUUAGGGUGUGUCUAACAACGAAUACAUGGACUUCUAUUCAACAAACAAAUUACAUAGUUCUCACCGCUUAUUUUAUUAAUGAUGAUUGGAUGUUCCAUAAAAAGAUUUUGAACUUUUGUGUCAUUCCAAAUCAUAAAGGAGAAUCCAUUGCUCAACUUUGGAGGAGUGUUUGGUGGAGUGGGGCAUAGAAAAGGUGUUAACUAUUACAGUUGACAAUGUUUCCGCAAAUGAUUCUGGCUUAAAGGAUUUGGUGCACCAAAUAAGUGGGUGUAGGAUUCCUAAUGCACUUUUACAUGAUGAAAAAUAUUUGCACAUAAGGUUUGUUACUCAUAUCCUUAAUUUGGUUGUGAAUGAUGGGAUAAAGAUGUUGAAUAAGGUUUGUUGCUCAUAUCCUUAAUUUGGUUGUGAAUGAUGGGAUAAAGAUGUUGAAUACCACUAUACAAAGCAUUAGUAAUGCGGUUAGAUGUGUAAGAUCUUUCCCUCAAAGGUUGGAGAACUUUAAAAGGUGUGUUGAGAAAGUGAGAAUAGAUAACAAAGGGCUUGUGAUUUUGGAUGUCCCUACUAGGUGGAAUUCCACAUUUUUAAUGUUGGAAUCGGCUUUGAAGUUCAAGAUGACUUUUGAUAGGUUAAAAGUAGAUAAUGGUCAUUAACAUAAGGGAUGGGCCACCUUCGACGAAUGAUUGGAGUGAGGCAUGAAUAUUUGCAUCCUUUUUUAGACCUUUUUAUAAAGUCACUUUAAAAGUAUGUUGUUUUAAUACUCCAACAAUUCAUACUACUUUUGGUGAUUUGUUUAAGAUCAAAAGUCUCCUCCAUGAAAACAAAGAUAGUGAAUUUUUGUCUAUAAUCUCCAUGUUGAUGCAAGAAAAAUAUGACAAAUAUUGGGGUUCAAUUGAGGAUAUGAAUCAAUAUGUUGUUGUUGCACUUGUGCUUGAUCCUCGCCAUAAAUUGGAGAAUGUGGUUGAUUAUUAUGAGAUACUAUUUGGUGAGGACAAGGAAAAAGUUGAAAUUACCACCAAUGCGGUGAAAGAUUUGUUAUUUACAAGAUUCAUGAAGAGUUGUUUUUUGAUACACAACAAAGCACAAGUAGUGGUGGUAGUUCUCAAUCAGCAACUACAAGUGGAGAUUCUUUAUCAAGCAUGACCGAAAUAGAAAGAAAGUUGAAAGAGAAAAGUGACAUGAAAGAGGCAAAGAGAGCCAGUGUUGUGCACAUGAUGUGGAUAGAUAUAUUUUUUAUUCUAAUGAAGGGGAAGAAGAUGAAUAUAUUGAAUUGGUGGAGGGUGAAUGGGGUUUCUAAGUAUCCUAUUUUGGCACGUGUUGCAAAAGAGAUUUUAGCUAUUCCCGUAUCAACCAUUGCUUGGGAAUCCUCAUUUAGCACAAGUGGAUGAAUAAUUGAUCGAUAUCGUAGUUCUUUGAGUCCAAAAAUGGUGGAGGUUUUGAUAUGUACACAAAAUUGGCGUAUGUCUAUCCAUGUUGCAUUACAUCAUGAGCCAACCAUUGUGGAGAUUGAGUUUUGUGAAGAAGUUGAGAAAGAAAUGGCAAGUGGAAGUUCAAGGAAAUGUGCUAUGUUUCCUCCUAGGCCGCCUAAGCAUUGAGCUUGAGGACUUGAAGAAAAGAAGUGUGUGCAAGACAUGAAACCUUGAAGGUUUAUUUGACUUUAUGAUUUUAGUUAAGUGGAAUAUUUCUUUACAGUUUGGACUUCGUUAUGUUUAUUUUAGGUGUGGAAGACUUGAAGUGUGAUGUUUAUUUUAAAUUUGGAUUUUUUGAAAGCUUAAACUUUGAUGUUUAUUUUAAGUUGGGACUUUGGAAGACUUGAUUGAUGAUUCUAGUUGAACUUUAAA